GACGAACGCUGGCGGCGUGCUUAACACAUGCAAGUCGAACGAAGAGCGAUGGAAGCUUGCUUCUAUCAAUCUUAGUGGCGAACGGGUGAGUAACGCGUAAUCAACCUGCCCUUAAGAGGGGGACAACAGUUGGAAACGACUGCUAAUACCGCAUACGAUCUAAACUCGGCAUCGAGGAUAGAUGAAAGGUUGCCUCUACAUGUAAGCUAUCACUGAAGGAGGGGAGUGCGUCUGAUUAGCUAGUUGGAGGGGUAACGGCCCACCAAGGCGAUGAUCAGUAGCCGGUCUGAGAGGAUGAACGGCCACAUUGGGACUGGGACACGGCCCAGACUCCUACGGGAGGCAGCAGUGGGGAAUCUUCCGCAAUGGACGAAAGUCUGACGGAGCAACGCCGCGUGAGUGAUGACGGCCUUCGGGUUGGAAAGCUCUGUUAAUCGGGACGAAAGGCCUUCUUGCGAAUAGUGAGAAGGAUUGACGGUACCGGAAUAGAAAGCCACGGCUAACUACGUG
rnacentral:rRNA from 1 species